UUUGGUGACCACAGCGGCAGGGAUCCACCCGUUCCCAUUCCGAACACGGAAGUUAAGACUGCCAGCGCCGAUGGUACUUGGGCCGUGGGGCCCCGGGAGAGUAGGUCGUUGCCAAAC
rnacentral:rRNA from 1 species